GCGCGAUUAGCUCAGCGGUAGAGCAUCACCUUGACACGGUGGAGGUCACUGGUUCGAACCCAGUAUCGCGCACCA
rnacentral:tRNA from 1 species